rnacentral:misc_RNA from 1 species
GAUGUCAAGAGAAGCGGGGAUAAAUUAAGUAAUAAAUUUCUUCUUGGUCUAAAUCCUUAUUCAUUACAGAUAACUUACACGAGAUAGAGAAUAGAUCACCAUGCUUUUAUCUUAUGUUAAACAGAAGCAUAUUCAGCUAUGAAUUUAUAGACCAAGUAAGUAAGGAAAACCAGUGGAAGGUAACCACUUACUUCCACCAACGAAAUUUUCUGCAGUAAAUGGCAGUGCCUCGGAUGCACUAGUCAUCACCUUGAAACCCUUCCAAGUCACCCUAUUUGCAGUGUUAGCACCUGCUCCAGUAUUUUGAUACUCUCUAUAGAACAAUGUGUCAAGAGCAAAAUCUCCAUCCCACUCAUACCAUCCUGCUGGGUUAAUAAUAUCACUUAUAUCAGUUCGCAUUAUGACAGUCCUGGAGUAUUGCUUCCAGGGUCUACCUAAAUAAGAUUGAAAACUGCCUUUUGCAGCUUGUAAAUCCUGAGUUGCACCAAUCCUGCAAUUUUGGAUCGCUAUGCCCGUGUUCUGAUUAGGGUCUUCCCGUCCUUGAGCUGUGACCAUAUUCCUUUGGCCUGGAUUGGGGCGGCGGGCAUGGAUGUCGCAGUUUUGGAAGACUGCUGCAGCAUUUCCAAAUAUGAAAUCGACAGAGCCGACAAUUAUGCAGCUGACAUAGAAUUGGCGAAGUGUAUGUACAUAGAGUGUGUCUUGGUAAGCAAGCAUAUCACAUCUAUAAAAUGCUGAUUGGUCUGAUCCCACACGCAAUGCAACAGCUUGGUGCUUGGAUGGUCCAGCAGUGUUUUGAAAGGUUAUAUCCCUGGCCAUGAAUCCAUCCCCAACUACAGCAACAGUUGCAGACCUGAAUGUGGUGCUGCCAUCAACGACGUUCCUAUUACCAGUGAUGACGGUGGUCGUCCUCCCAUCACCCACAAACAUGAUGUUAGUCUUUCUACUUGGCACCUCCACAUUUUCUCUGUAAGCCCCUGCUUUAAUUCUUAUAAUGUACCUCGAACUACUGCCCGCUGGUGCAGCUGCCACCGCCUCCCCUACGGUCCGGUAGUUUCCACUCCCAUCAGCUGCUACAACAACAUUGGGAGUUACAUCUCUGGCCUGCAGCAGCCUACGGUCCCCAGCCGACAUCCAAUGUGGCCAUUCUAUUCCAUUCUCCUCUUCUAGCUUCCUCCCUGAUGAUGAUGAUGCCAAAUGCUUCUCCUUAGCCAUAUCUGCGUCAGUCAUGUUCUUGAUCAUGGCCAAGGUAUUGCUACACAGGUGAUGCGCAUGCUUUUCAUCACUUAAAAAUAAUUUACGAACCUUUUCAUCUGCUUUUUCAUAAUAGAAACCUUCAACGCAAGUUUCUUGGUUAGUCAUUGCAGCACUGAGCAGUAUCUUGAGGUCAUCAGCGUGUUCCGCUAAGGACUUUUUCAAAGAUGGAUAGCUUCGGAGGUCCUGCACAGCCUUCUUAAUCUCAUCUAAAGUUUCGUUCAGCAUUUCUAGACAAUCACUGAGGGCAGUGUUUUCGCGCUUUGUGAAGUUACUCUGCCUAAAAGUGAGUUUCUUGAUCUUGAGAUAAGUUCGUUCCACAGAAGUCUUGCUUAGAUUCAGUGACAAAUCGAUUACAUCCUUGGUGUUCUUUAUCUUGCUGGAAGCAUCAGGUAGAGUUGAGAUUGCUGAGAAGCAUAGGUCAGGGUACAAUGUGGCACUGCAGGAUGAUUUCAGAAUGGCAUGAGCUGCUUGAUGGUCAUGCUCAAUGAUGGCGUUGGCUGAGCUCUUUCUUGUUGAGGCUACACCAGCAAUGAUGCUAAUAACGGCUGUAACCAGAAGGAAUGAGGCAAAAAGACCCAAGAAGAGCCUUUUCUUGUUCUUGUUCUUGGAGGAGGUAAUGCCAUUGCUGGAGUUUGAUAGUGGAGGAAAGUCUUCCUUCAUGUUUUUGGUUUUUGUCGGUGCUGAUAUGCUUGCAAAGGAAAGGAAGGAAAAAGAAAAGGUUCGAGUAUGGAUAAACAUUGCAUUUGGAACAAAUU